GUGGAUUACCUUUUCCGCAGCCAUCGUUUCGGCUCUCGAUCGGGAGUGUCUGGCAACAAAGGACGCUGAUCUUUGGCGUGUUUUGGCGAUGGAAGAAGUAUUACGGUGACUUAGAAUUCUUUUUUACAGAUCACGGUGAUUUUUGGUCGGCGUUGUGGCUGCUUGGACUUGAUCGAUGCAUUCUCGCCCGCGGACAAUCUGGAUCUGAAUAUGAGUAGGUCGUCGAUGAAUGGAUCUCAUGUGCUCUCCUGUUAAUAUAAGGUUCUUUCUGAUGUAGUGGAUGUGUAAAGCCAGAGAUCUCCUCCGAGGGUAAGGUAAAAUAGGGAUGUUGUCUGGUGAUUAAUCUUAUUAGGCUGUCAUCUCGGCCUUUGCCAUAUUGGGUGCGCUCGCAUGGCAGGUCAAAGAACCGUAAUAAAGUAUGCCAAUUUUCGUGUGUUUGGUGGGAACGCAAGGGGUGUUUUCGUACCCCAGGUUCUCACCCUCGUGUGCCUUGUCUCGUUAUUGUGAUCCUUCUAUGUCGCUAGUAAACUCGCUCUUGGAUUCUUUGAACUAGUACUUUAAGGGUACCUUGCAUGACCAAAAUACCAGAGGGUCAUAGUGCAAUCAUCACAUUCUAAUUCGUUUACUUGUCAUCUUAUUUGGUAUUACCUCCACUAGCGCACCCAUUAACGAAAUUGAAAGUUAUGACAUACGUUUCCUAUUAUUUUUACUAACUAAAAUUUGAUCGUCAUUAUGAAUAAUCUCACUCUAUUCAGUCCACGCUUAUAUGCAUAAUCUAUCUUUACCUUUGAUUUAAUGUUGAUAUAUGCUACAUAAUUCCAUUAGUUUUGAAUGUUAAGAUGUAUCGUUUUUUCCUUUCUGAACUUAUUUAUCAAGUUUGAUAGUUUUUGAGGUCAGUUGGUAUGUGAUAAAUUACCCGCUGCUGAUUGUGGAGACAUUGAGCUUAUUCCUUGUCCUUCUAGUGGACUCUUCAAUCUUUUGGAUUUGGAGGACAACUGGGGACAGAAUAAGCUCUUUCUUUGGUUUUGAUUAUAUUUUUACAUAAUACAAUGAAGUUGCUGUCAUUGAAGUUUCUACAUUUUUGCCUUGUCAAAACUAUAUCUUCUCAAUGUGCGUCAUGUGAUUGAAAUUGAUUUAUUAGCUUCUGUUACUUCAUUAUUAUAAUAUCUCAGUUUCGCCAGAUUGUUUGUUAUGUUCAUACCUGCAAUAAAAGGCCCGAUGGUGUGUAUGUUCAAUUUGCUGUUACAGACUUCAUACCUGAUUGUAGGCAAAUAAGAAUUUUAUGUUUAAUUGUUAUUGCUGUAGCAUGAUUUAUUAAGAAUGUUAUACCGUUAUGCUUACUCAGGUGAAUGGAAUAGUCAAAAUUUUUUCCUGUUGUAAUGCAGUGAUCGAGUACACACUUCUUGAUAUAAGGAACAUCUUAAAUAUUGUGAUAGGUAUUUCCAUAAAUAUUAGAGUUCAUUGAUUAUAUAUUGUUACAGGGAACUAACGGCAUGUCUGUUGUUUUUGUUACAUUAAUUUUACCUUGCAUCUUUAAUUUUAUUAUUUACAUUGGAUUGGAAGUUUUUCUAAAAAUAGUACUGUUCUGCAAUAUGAUCUGUUUAUGGUUUCAUAUGCAUACUGGAUUUUCCUUUUCUUAUGGUGGUUCCAGUUUAUACUUUUAAUCAAUAUUUUCAUAUCCUUGUCACUCUUGCCAACCAAGAUUCCACACAUUUAUUUGGGAUUAUAUGGUUUAUGAUUUACUGUGGAUUGAUAUGUAAUUUUGACAGAUCUUUAAUAACGAUUUGUAGUUUAAUAUAUUUCUUUUGUAGUUUAAUAUUUUUUUGAGCAGUUCAUUUAUUAGUAUUAUUGUUAUUAAUUUUGACAUUUUCACUUAUGGUUGUUGGAUGCUUGAAUGUUAUAAUUUCUGCACUGUUUAUUUGUUGCGCAAACAAUUUCUCAGAUUAAAUUUUGGCAAGCUUACUUUUAGUUGCCUUGAUCUAUUAAGUGGCAAUUGUAAUGUUGCAUAGUGUGGAAUCUGGUAAUUUGAAAUAAUCAUAUCAUAUAUUUGAGUAAAUAUGAUAAAUUGAAUUAUCUUGUUGUUGCUUAAUUAAUAAUCUAGUUUUAAAUAUUGAUAUUUUGUUGUCAAUAAGGUAUGUAAUUCAAAGUAUUGAUUUAUUGAAUUUUUUUAGGCUGUAACUUCAUCUGGAACCCAAUUACUGCUUCUCCUUAGAAUAACCGCUGUAUAACAUAAAUUUAAUGUUGUUUCUCGAUAAUGGGAUUUCUCUUUGUAACAUUUGGCCUUUACUAGUUAGAAUCCAUUCGGUCGUGUAGUGUUAAAAGAAGUACUGUAUUUAAGGAAAAUCAUUAAAAUUUGUUUCUUGAGAUGCUCGUGGAUCUUCAAGCUCAGACUGGUCGAGCGCUCGGUCGAAUUCGAUCGAGAGGUUGAUGGUUCGAGUCCAUCAAGAUCCUUUUUUUUUUUUUUGUGGAGAGUUUACUGUGUGUACAGGCUUCUUUAUUAUCUUCUACACUUUUGACUGUACCGUGUUUUAUUGUUCUUAGUAUAAACCAUGUUCAGUGUUA